AUGCCUUCUCCGGGAGCACAUAUAAUAAGACAGAAAUGAUACAGAGAUUAGCAUGGCCCCAAUAUAAAGAUGGCAUACAUAUAUUUGUGAAGCAUUCCAUAGAUUU
rnacentral:snRNA from 1 species